GACGAACGCUGGCGGCGUGCUUAACACAUGCAAGUCGAACGGAAAGGCCUUUUCGGAGGUACUCGAGUGGCGAACGGGUGAGUAACACGUGGGUGAUCUGCCCUGCACUCUGGGAUAAGCCUGGGAAACUGGGUCUAAUACCGGAUAGGACCGCACUUUAGUGUGUGUGGUGGAAAGUUUUUUCGGUGUAGGAUGAGCCCGCGGCCUAUCAGCUUGUUGGUGGGGUAAUGGCCUACCAAGGCGGCGACGGGUAGCCGGACUGAGAGGUUGGUCGGCCACAUUGGGACUGAGAUACGGCCCAGACUCCUACGGGAGGCAGCAGUGGGGAAUAUUGCACAAUGGGCGCAAGCCUGAUGCAGCGACGCCGCGUGGGGGAUGACGGCCUUCGGGUUGUAAACUCCUUUCGCCAGGGACGAAGCGUUUUGUGACGGUACCUGGAGAAGAAGCACCGGCUAACUACGCG
rnacentral:rRNA from 1 species